rnacentral:rRNA from 1 species
UGAGGAAUAUUGGGCAAUGCCCGAAAGGGUGACCCAGCAACGCCGCGUGGAGGAUGAAGGUCGUAAGAUUGUAAACUCCUGUUAGAGGGGAAGAAUAACUAAGUUUGGAGCUUAGUAUGACUGUACCCUCAGAGAAAGCCCCAGCUAACUACGUGCCAGCAGCCGCGGUAAUACGUAGGGGGCAAGCGUUGUCCGGAUUUACUGGGUGUAAAGGGCGCGCAGGCGGAAUGGAAAGUCAGUGGUGAAAUCCUACAGCUUAACUGUAGAACUGCCUUUGAUACUUUCACUCUUGAGUUCGGGAGAGAGAGACGGAAUUCCAGGUGUAGUGGUGAAAUACGUAGAUAUCUGGAAGAACACCAGUUGCGAAGGCGGUCUCUUGGUCCGAUACUGACGCUGAGGCGCGAAAGCGUGGGGAGCAAACA